GAUGAACGCUGGCGGCGUGCCUAAUACAUGCAAGUCGAGCGAACGGACGAGAAGCUUGCUUUUCUGAUGUUAGCGGCGGACGGGUGAGUAACACGUGGAUAACCUACCUAUAAGACUGGGAUAACUUCGGGAAACCGGAGCUAAUACCGGAUAAUAUUUUGAACCGCAUGGUUCAAUAGUGAAAGACGGUCUUGCUGUCACUUAUAGAUGGAUCCGCGCUGCAUUAGCUAGUUGGUAAGGUAACGGCUUACCAAGGCAACGAUGCAUAGCCGACCUGAGAGGGUGAUCGGCCACACUGGAACUGAGACACGGUCCAGACUCCUACGGGAGGCAGCAGUAGGGAAUCUUCCGCAAUGGGCGAAAGCCUGACGGAGCAACGCCGCGUGAGUGAUGAAGGUCUUCGGAUCGUAAAACUCUGUUAUUAGGGAAGAACAUAUGUGUAAGUAACUAUGCACAUCUUGACGGUACCUAAUCAGAAAGCCACGGCUAACUACGUG
rnacentral:rRNA from 1 species